CCUACGGGUGGCAGCAGUGAGGAAUAUUGGUCAAUGGACGAGAGUCUGAACCAGCCAAGUAGCGUGAAGGAUGACUGCCCUCUGGGUUGUAAACUUCUUUUAUAUGGGAAUAAAAUGUUCCACGUGUGGGAUUUUGUAUGUACCAUAUGAAUAAGGAUCGGCUAACUCCGUGCCAGCAGCCGCGGUAAUACGGAGGAUCCGAGCGUUAUCCGGAUUUAUUGGGUUUAAAGGGAGCGUAGGUGGAUUGUUAAGUCAGUUGUGAAAGUUUGCGGCUCAACCGUAAAAUUGCAGUUGAAACUGGCAGUCUUGAGUACAGUAGAGGUGAGCGGAAUUCGUGGUGUAGCGGUGAAAUGCUUAGAUAUCACGAAGAACUCCGAUUGCGAAGGCAGUUCACUGGACUGCAACUGACACUGAGGCUCGAAAGUGUGGGUAUCAAACAGGAUUAGAUACCCCUGUAGUC
rnacentral:rRNA from 1 species